rnacentral:sRNA from 1 species
UUGGGAUUAAUAAUCGGAAUCAUCAGUCGCAACAGUCACGUGGCCUGCGUACAGCGCUUCGCCCUCCUUUCCUUGAUCGCUACCGUAGCAAAGCAGUACGACAAUCUCGUCAGGCAUCUGAUGACGGAUAUACCACCAUUUUUGCGAAGGAUUAUGAUGAAUUCGGAUUCCGGCCCCAAACUGGGACCCUUGUUUAAAAGCUGUCGGCGGAGUCGACGGUCGAAAAUCAAGAGGGGAAAGUUUGUCAAUGGCCCUGACAACAAAUUUCAACUGUCAGGGAUGAACCUUAGCCAGAGGAUUAGAACUCGAGAAUACCUUUGAGGCGGCCCAGGCCUCCAGAUGUUUAUGAUUAUGCUUCGCUCAAGUUUGGAAGGAUCUUCACUUGUAACCAUGCACACGACAUGUCAGUCACCUGCGCCCAUGACUGCUCAUGGCUGCCGUCGAUUCUAAUCUAUUGCAUUCUCAUUGUCCAACUGCAUCAUAUUAUCCAGCCUUUUCAACGUCUCUACGCGUCUAUUCUGCCAAUACCAAAUUUCAUUCACAUCAAACUUUUGACUUUGUUUUAAUGCAUGCCACAGUUGGUCACUUGAAUAGCUAACAAACAGCUGUAGUCAGCUGGAAAGAAUAUGCGAAUUCAAAACACUUACUUCAUCUUGAUCAACAUGAGCAUGGGCAACUGCAGGUAGAAUCCUGGUAGUAGGAAUAACGCCUUUCUCGGGACCCUGUUGAUGCUCCACAAUCUUGGCUUGCUUUUCGUCUCACAAUGGGGUUACAUAGGGCUACUCUAGAGCAUCUAUGGUAUGUUUUCAUUAACCUGCAGCAUUUGUGCAUCAGCGUCUUCUGUUGCGAAUAUUCGGUC